AAAUUGAAGAGUUUGAUCAUGGCUCAGAUUGAACGCUGGCGGCAGGCCUAACACAUGCAAGUCGAACGGUAACAGGAAUCAGCUUGCUGAUUUGCUGACGAGUGGCGGACGGGUGAGUAAUGUCUGGGAAACUGCCUGAUGGAGGGGGAUAACUACUGGAAACGGUAGCUAAUACCGCAUAACGUCGCAAGACCAAAGAGGGGGACCUUCGGGCCUCUUGCCAUC
rnacentral:rRNA from 1 species